AGGGAACUACUGUUAGAAUUCAUGAUUUUGGUGAAUGAUGAAGUUGUUCGUUCCAUGGAGACACUGAUGUUCAAUGCUUAUUUGCACAUGGUACUUUUGAUAUUGUGCUUGAUUGAGGAUAUUACUGGUCAAGUAAUACAAAGUUUUUAAUGGAGAUGGAAGAGUGCAAGGUAUCUAGAAGUAGAUUGGGAGAGUCUGCUUACUGAUGGUGAUGUUGUAAAAUUUGGGAUUGUCUUAGUUGAAUUGGAGAAAUAAAACUGUCAUUUUGUCUGCCUUGGGUGCAUAUGUUCCGUGUAAUUCGCAGUAUUGCAGCUAUCUUAGAUUAGCUGCUCUUAGUUUUACUUUGUUUUGACGACUUUGUGGCGUUAUUGUGGUAUUUUGGUAGAAAGAUGUUCAACAUGUUGCGCUUGACUUUGCCAAAGCAUUUGGGGUAUUGCCUU